CCUACGGGUCGCAGCAGUGGGGAAUAUUGCACAAUGGGCGCAAGCCUGAUGCAGCCAUGCCGCGUGUGUGAAGAAGGCCUUCGGGUUGUAAAGCACUUUCAGCGGGGAGGAAGGCGGUGAGGUUAAUAACCUCAUCGAUUGACGUUACCCGCAGAAGAAGCACCGGCUAACUCCGUGCCAGCAGCCGCGGUAAUACGGAGGGUGCAAGCGUUAAUCGGAAUUACUGGGCGUAAAGCGCACGCAGGCGGUUGAUUAAGUUAGAUGUGAAAUCCCCGGGCUUAACCUGGGAAUGGCAUCUAAGACUGGUCAGCUAGAGUCUUGUAGAGGGGGGUAGAAUUCCAUGUGUAGCGGUGAAAUGCGUAGAGAUGUGGAGGAAUACCGGUGGCGAAGGCGGCCCCCUGGACAAAGACUGACGCUCAGGUGCGAAAGCGUGGGGAGCAAACAGGAUUAGAUACCCCCGUAGUC
rnacentral:rRNA from 1 species